UAAUAAAGUGAAGGUCGAUGUAGAUUCCUAUUUGACGGAGGUGAUACUGUGAGCGACCCCCUCCCCAACCUCCUCCAGCACUAACAAUUGCAGCAGCCUUAUCAGCCCAAACAUUUGGCGGUCGGGAUGCCCAAUCUAUAGCGUUCUUUAAAGGUGCUAAACAAUAGAUUACACAACCGAGAGUAUAUUAAAAAAAAUUUAACCAUUUUUUAGUUUAGUUUGUUAGUUUAAAAAAUGAGUUCUGGAUGCAUUUGAAGCUAGUGAGAAAAAAUUAAAAGUAAAACGCAAAGCAAGAAAAACAAAAUAUACCCCUAUUUAUUUUUUCCGAAUUUCAUAGCUAUUCUAAAGAUUUAAAAUAAGAUGACUGGAGAAGUGUCUGAAUGAUACCAAAUGAUUCAGCUACACAAGGGAAUAACUUCUAUAUAGCUAGACAUUAAGUAAAUUUUUGUAGAAAGAUAAGAUUACCGGUGACUGAAUAAUUGUACUCAGGUGAAGCAAAGAGAUAGCAAUCUGCUUCCGCAAUCUUGUUUCGAAAGGCCUCCACAGCAGCGGGGUAUGUUCCAUUUACCUCGAGAUCAGUGUUCAGCAUAGGCAAAGGUGAUAUAUCCACAUAUUCCACCUUCACACCAUUAUUUAACUCCUUGGAUAUAUCAAUUACUACAUCAAACACAAACACCAAUUUUCCAACUUCCUUUCACCAACACAAAACUAUAAGCUAAGCUUACACAGAAAAAUUAUAUUCCAUUAGUACAAAAUUCUCAGAAUCUUAUGAAUUUCGAUAUUCUAGAAACCUUAGAGCAACUCCAAGAGUUGCUCCAUUAACUCCUCAUAAAAAUCAUUAUAAUAAACACUCUUAGCUCAUUUACACAUGAAGUGAAUACUAGGACUCCAACAGCCUUCCUCAACAUCCUCUUUGUCCACUUAUAAAUCAGUUUUUUAUUCGUAACUGCUAUUCGUCUUUCUCUGCAACAGAUUCAAAUGUCAGUGUUUCUCUUACAUAUUAAUAUAAAAUUAGUUUAGGAGCUGAUAUAUACUCCUCAGUACUGAGGAGAAUCUUCCAACUCCUAACUUUUUAGGAGGGAAUAGAGAAUCUGUUGGAGUAUGGUUUUACAUCAAAUUCAGUAUAAUUUAACUUAGGAGGCAGUGUGAGGAGGCUGUUGCUGUUGCUCUAUAAUCACUUACAAGUUACAGGAAUCCCCAAUUCCCAUAACAAAUCCUUGUCCAAAACAGUGUAGAGAAACACGAAAAACUGGAAAAAAAAAACACAAACUCCAAAUUUGAAGUGAAACCCGUGAGGCAUGAUUACUUGCACGAUUUUUUUUUGUCAAAAAUAUAAUUAUCUAUAUAGUCAUCUAUACUUGUAUUAUAAUUUUGAGAAUGUUUGUUAUAAUAAUAGUAAACAAUAGGAUAGUACUUGAAAUAGUACAUAGAUAAAAGUCUCAAACAACAUAGUGAAAAAUAUUAGUGCAUAAAAGUAUCAAACUAUCAACCAAUAAAAUUUAGUAAGUCAAAGGCUUCCAUAUCAUUUAGCUCAAUCUCAGUUCUCUCAAAUUCUCUCUUCCUUAUAAAGGUUUAACUAAUUUCUAAUAAUGUUAGGAGUGUUUUGGUCUGUUUGUAUAUUAUUUUUUUCCGAGCUUUUGCAUUUUAGGCGAUUGUUAGUUUCUCCAAGUAAUCGCGUAUCAAGCGAGAUUUUAUGCCAAUUUCAUAAUCACACUAAAUUGUUAAUAAGCAGAACCUUCGCAGACUCACGAAGCGAGAAUAAGUUAAAUAUAAAAGUAGAUACAUAACCAUGGGAGAGAUGUUACUUUAGCACCAAAAUCACUUUUUGGUGUUAAAUUAUAACAAUAACUCCACCUAUUUUAGCACAAACAUUGGACUUGCUCUAAGUGUAUGUAUGCAUACACAAUUCUAUAUCAAUCUCAUAAAUUACACAGACUUAAGCAUGACCCAUAGAGAAUAAAGCAAGUUGACAAUUUUUGUUACUGCAUCAAGAAACAAGAAAUUCAGUUUCACUCAUUUUAAGUGUAUGUACGCAACCUACACAAUCCUGAAUCCAUUAUACAUUACUAAAUUAUGUAUGAAUAUUUUCAAAUUUAAGCUAAAGUUGUUUUUUCAAAUUUAAGCUAAAGUUAUCAAAAUCUUUUUACAGAAUGAUGAACAAUUCUUGACACAAAGACGAAGAGGGGGAGGGAGGGAGGGAGGGAGAGAGAGAGAGUACCUGAACGGACAAGGCCGUGAUUGAAGGAAGCUUUGCGGAUAGAACCAGAAAUGGCUACAACUUUGACAAGUGGGCUAGCUAUUGCCUCCAUCUCACUCUUCACUGCUUAUCUGCUUUCUCUACAAGGUGGAUAUAUAUAUGUGCACACACAUGACACAACAUCAUAUAUAUACAUACAUGCACGUGUAGUUUAUUUUUAUAACGAAGACAGGGGACUGCGGGACAACUCAUUUGAGGUCCAUUCACUGGAUUGGGGCUGGAUAACAAAAUUCAGCAUAUGUCUUGUUAUUGUAUAAAGUAAACAACGGGAUUAUAAGCUACCAGAGAGUUUGGAAAAUAUGUAGAAGCUAAAAAAGAAAUUAUCAAUUCUCGAUGGCUUAAGAUUGAUUCUACUUUCAAAACUUUUCUGUCGCACUUGGCUCAAAACUAAGCAUCGAAAAUUCUUGAAACUGGAUAAAGGAUAAACUAAUACCAUAAACAAAUUUAUUAUAAAUUUAUUAUGAAGAAUAGGAUUACAUAUUUUUAUUGUUCAAAAAUUUAGUAAAUUUUAUGAUUUAAGCUUUGUUGAAUCUAUAAAUUUAUACGAGAUCUCAUAUCAUCUUUUAUCAUAGUAUAAUAAUAUAUUUUAUUUAUAAUAUAAUAUAUAUUAAUAUACUAUUCCUUCCGUCUUAUUUAUUUCUUUACGAUUUUCUCACUACUUGACAUAUGAUUAAGAUAUACAUAAAAUAUAUUUUUAUAACUUAUCUUUUAAAUUAUCUAAUAAAAAAAUUAGAAAUAUCAAAGUUGAAUUAUAUUAUACACUGUAAUUUACAUGCAAUGUGUGCCCUUCAUUAACAAGUGAAAUCUCAUUUUAGUGAAGAAUGAGAAAUACAAAAUACCAAAAUUUGGUUAUCAUUUUAUGAUUUGAACAGUUAUUUAUGUGACAACACACACGAUAAAACAAUUGAAAUACAAAAUAUUAAUAACAUUAGUUUUGAAUUAAAUAUAAAUUAAAUUCUCCGUUAGACUUUCAUAUUGGUUAUAAUUUUAUAAUGUAACGAUUAUCUCACCAAAAGAAUGACAUUCUCAACAAAAUUAUUCAAAACUUUUAAAAUUCAAACAAGUUAUUUUACAAACCAACUCUACAAAAUCAAUAUCAUGUUUAAGAAUUCAAAUAAAUAAUGAAUUCAUAUUGAUAUUAUUAACCGAAUCUAUAAUAAUUAUAGUAAAAGAAUCGAAAUACAAGAUAUUGUCAACAGAACUCGAUAACUAUUAGUUUUGAAUUUAAACUUGAAAGUUCCACUAGACUAUAAUAUUAAUUUGUUAAACAGCUAUUGAAAUAGCUAUUUAACUAAUGUCAAAGAAAUGAUAAUGUAACCAAAUAAAAAGACAUAUUUUCAAAAAAUAAUAAAUUUAAAAUAUUUAUUUAAGUUCAUACUUGUCACAGGUUAUAGCCAUCGGAGAAUAAAACAAAAAGUCAACUUGCAAAAAUUGACCGGAAAAACCACCACAAUCUCUUAUUCCUUGCACACACAUUCAUGACAAGAUACUAGGAAGCAACUUUCAUGAUUUAACACACAGUUUCACUUGUAAUAUGAAAAUUACACAUGAAUGUUUGGUAUAAAAGGUAAUCAAAUGAGGCUAUCGACAAUACUCAAAUGAGGAGCCUGUACCAAUAAUUUUUUUACUUUCCUUUGAGCCGCAGAGCAUAGGCGUGCAGAGACAGAAGGACCUUUUUCAACCUCUCCUUUGACUCCGCAUGAAUAAGGGUUCCAUCGGCAUCAAACUUGGCAGGAGGUUCAAAGGCGUUCAAGUAAAACUCUGGCUUGUUAAUAAAGUGAAGGUCAAUGAAUACUCCUAUUUGACGGAGGUGAUAUUGUGAGCGACCCCCUCCCCAACCCCCUCCAGCACUAACAACUGCAGCAGCCUUGUCAGCCCAAACAUUCGGUGGUCUUGAUGCCCAAUCUAUUGCAUUCUUCAAAGGAGCUGAGCAAUAGAUUACACAAUGGGAAAAAUAUUAAAAAAAUCAGCCUAAUUUAACAUAAAUCCGCAUCAAUUUUGUAAUGUGUUGGUUUAACGAAUGAGUUCUAAAUGCAUGUCAAGCUGGACAAAAAACUAAAAGAGAAAUACAAAGCAACUAAGCAAGCAUUCAUUCAUAUUACUAUCUACUAUUAAUCAA
rnacentral:lncRNA from 1 species